rnacentral:rRNA from 1 species
CGAGCGAACUGAUUAGAAGCUUGCUUCUAUGACGUUAGCGGCGGACGGGUGAGUAACACGUGGGCAACCUGCCUGUAAGACUGGGAUAACUUCGGGAAACCGAAGCUAAUACCGGAUAGGAUCUUCUCCUUCAUGGGAGAUGAUUGAAAGAUGGUUUCGGCUAUCACUUACAGAUGGGCCCGCGGUGCAUUAGCUAGUUGGUGAGGUAACGGCUCACCAAGGCAACGAUGCAUAGCCGACCUGAGAGGGUGAUCGGCCACACUGGGACUGAGACACGGCCCAGACUCCUACGGGAGGCAGCAGUAGGGAAUCUUCCGCAAUGGACGAAAGUCUGACGGAGCAACGCCGCGUGAGUGAUGAAGGCUUUCGGGUCGUAAAACUCUGUUGUUAGGGAAGAACAAGUACAAGAGUAACUUGCUNGUACCUUGACGGUACCUAACCAGAAAGCCACGGCUAACUACGUGCCAGCAGCCGCGGUAAUACGUAGGUGGCAAGCGUUAUCCGGAAUUAUUGGGCGUAAAGCGCGCGCAGGCGGGUUCUUAAGUCUGAUGUG